rnacentral:lncRNA from 1 species
GGUGGGUAACUUCCGCCAGACUUUUCUGGAGAUGGCUAAUCCAGCCGUGGGAUGUGGUUUCUUCUAACAGCCAGUCAGGAAAAUCUUGCUUCUCAAACUCCUGUCUUGACCCCUUCCUGAACUUUGCCUCCUGGAUCUUGAGGUCUGCCUUCUGUGGAAGAGAAAUACUAGAAUCAAUGAACUGUGAACUAGAGCCCUGGGAUUAUCAACAGCCAGCUGAAAUUUUGAGAGCCACCUUAUAGAAAGCCUAACAGCAAAGACUGGAGAGAGGCUUCCAGCCAACAGCCAGCAAGGAAUUGAAGCCCUCAGUCCAAUAGCAGUGAGGAAUUGAAUCCUGCCAACAGCCUCGUGGAUGGGUUGCUUGCUGCCUGAAUCUAACUCCUGCUACUACUGCAAAUACCACUGCCAUGAAUAUCCUCAGCAAGACCCCCUUCCAGACCUGCAUGAACAGUUGUGUGAAAUACCGACUGCUUCAUGCUGGGCUUCAGACAUGAGAGGCUAGGAGUAGGAGGCAUGCCUUGUUCAAAGAUACCCAGUUCUCCCAGGACCAUUUGUUGAAAAGGCAGGCACCUCAUUUUACAGAAGAGGAAACUGAGGCCCAGAAAGAGAAGUGGCAUGCCCAAGGCUGUGCCAGAAGCAAAGUGUAAAAUAGAUCCUGAGCCUCCGACUCCUGGUCUUAAAUGUGGGAAAUAGUCUACAGUUUGGAAGACACCAGAGAAAAAUGCUCCACAGCUCGCCCUGGUGACUCACUACAACUUAUGGGAAGAUGUGAGAUUAUUCUGUAUUCUAAUGUAUGUUAGAAGGCACACUCCACCCAAAGCCUUCCUGUGUGUUCCUCCCUGUGAGCUCACAUCCCGUUCACCAGCUGACUGGGAAGGGAAGUCAGGACCAGCCCUGACCCCAUCACACCAUCAUAACCUCGGGAUGGCAGGGCUGGAAGGCACCUCAGACGUCAUCCUUUGCAGACUCUUCAUUUUACAGUGAGAGGCAUGACGUGUCCACAGCUGGUUAGUGCCAAAGCCUGGGACAGGCUUCACAUUGUCCAGCUCUUAGUCAGAGCACUGUUGACAAUGUCUGCCUUCACUUGGAAUUCAGCACCUGCUUUCAGUAUAAACCCCUGCAUUUCACUAAAACUGAGCAGACUGCUGGUUUAAAAAAGAGAGGUCCAUCCAGCAGGGAUGAUGCUUUUCCUCGUUGAAAGAGGACAUUCACCUAAUGGGAGACCUGGAGUCAGAAUCUUUCUGAUGUGUGACUUGGCACAGUAACACAAUGCAGGAUGCUGGUGUGUUAAUAAAAAUAAAAAUUGCAUCGCCUACCUCAGAGUCGACAACAAUGUCAAGGAGUUAAUAGUCUUGGCAACACAGAGGCCACUGGACAGAGGCAUAACCUUGCGUGGCAGCUGCACGGGAAUUGGAUUUGGCUCAGGUGUUUCAGAUGACUAAGAACAAAGGGGACCACUCUUGGUAUAGAAGUUCAUCUCGUCGGGAGCAUCUGUGGUUCUUUUAUAAGCAAUGUACAUUCUACAAUAGAGGCAGACCCAGAAAUAAUUCAGAUAUUGGAGUUAGAAGAUCAGGAUUCUAAAAAAACCAAAAGAUCCUGCCUUACUAUGCACCUAUGGCCCUUCAAAGGCGAGAGUAGAAUCUGCUAUGAUUUAGAAGCAAGCAAUAAAAAGUACACAUCAGAAUUGGAGCCUGCACAGAUGUAGAAGGAGGCAUGAAGAGGGUAUUGGAGGAUUGCCCACUAUGCAGUCUGCAUCCUGAGUCUGUGGUGAGGCUGGACACGUUCAAGCUUACAGGAGAACUGGAGAAAGCAAGCAACACAGCGGUGGAAGUGAGACCACUGAAGGUAAGCUUGGGAGGGGGUCCCGACACCACCACAUCAGUGGAUCCACAGCUAAGUGAUUGGUGGUGGCCUGGGGUUCUGCUGUUUAGCAGGGACAAGAGUGGAGGAGACAAACUGGACUCGGAACAAACUGGGAGCCUCUGCAUCCAUCCGUAACUGUCUGGCCGUGACAGUGGUUAGAGAGGAGUGGCUUCUGUGAAACUCUCACAAUCUCAAAUCUCCCACAAGUGCCUCUUUCAGCUAACUCUAAACUGGUACCAUAGAGGAAAUGGAUUCUGAAAACUUGGUCUCCAACCUUAGACAAAUUGAAUAAUUAAUAUGUCCUCUCCUGCUUCUUCUGUAACUGAAUUUGCAUUGGGAAGCAGGCCUGUCACUCUCAGACUUUGUGGUUUGAGUAGGGCUCACUUCAGCACCACCUUUUCCUCUUCUCAGCCCCACGGACUGGCAUGAGACUCAGGCCUGGCCAACUGAAUGUCACACACCUAUGACCAUCAGUUGGCUCAGAGAUGGACUCAGGACACCAUCACAGCCAAUGAAACCCUGUUAGGGAAAUUUGUCAGAACCAUACAAAGAAAUAGCUCCACUUUUCCAUAGAGAUGAGACAUAAGCCUGGACUAACUGGUGUCCAAUUUGCCAUCAAGAGAGCAUCUGAGAAGACAGAGGAAAACUGGGGAAAGCGAAGUCUAAGGAAGGUGAGUAAGGACAAGUCCAGUUGAUAUUACAUGAAUCACCUGGACCUGGAAAUCAAGGCAUUGCUGGAUUCAAGGCCAAGAAAAAUUGGAAGCUGGCUUGAAUCAGGUUCUAUCACUUGCAGUUGAAAAGGUCCAGACUAAUAUGAUAACAAAGGAGCAAGUAAGCAAGAUUCUGCCCUACAGUAAGUGCUCAAUGCAUGUCAGCUGGUAUUAUUAUUAUACAGACUUCUAUUUCUAGCCCUUUUAUUUCUACCACCUCUCUUCUGUGUUUUAUGUAAAGUGCAUAAGGAUUGUUCUGUUUGGAAACAUCAAACCAUAUAAAAUGACACCAGCAGGUCCCUUUCUGUCUGUCAGUGUCCACAAGCUCAACAACCAGGAUCAGCAGACAAAAACAGCUAAGCUGGAGUCAGUGUUUUUAUGAAGAAACAGGAAAAGAACUUACUUGGGAACUGUAGCUCAUCCUCCAAUAUUCUCCAUCCUAUCACUCUUUUCAUGACAGUUUCUUCUUGGCCCUGAAGUUGCCUUGUCAUGGCUCCCUGCCUCUGUCCUUUCUCUGUCUCACUUACAUCUUCCAAUGAGGAAUACAGCAAGACCUUUGGAUGAGGACCUCCAAAGGUCCUCAGUAUCCUUAGGACACUCGGUGCAGAACUAGAGGGACUGAGAGGAGGAGCUUUUGCAGGUUAAAUGACUAGUGAAUGGCCUUUCCUUAUAUUUCCAUUAGAAAUGGGAUUAGCUACACCUGAGAAGGAAUGACUUUGGAACAACUGAUCCCUAGCUUUCCAAAAUAUGAGAAAUUGAGAUGCAGGGAGUAGUAAGCACCUAGUUAAUGAGUCAAAGCAUAUUUAUAAAGUUCACAGGGUACAUAGCAUAUAGCAGCUGUUCUCUAUCUCAGUUGAGUUUUGACUAGGAAAUGGGCUUAGGAUAAAACACAUAGGCUUUUGAGUAAUCAUUUGUAAGAAAUUGUAGAUAGUGACCACAGUUUAAUAGCAUUAGAUAAAUUAUGAAAAGUCACUGAAAUACCUUCUCUGGAAAAUGUUAGAAGCUCAAGUACAAUGGCUUAGUUAAAGGCAGGUGGGGGAGAAACUUGAAGAAUGUGGUCCAGUACAAGAAUACCCCAUUUUUCCCCUAAGGCAAUGAAAAUGACAUGAAGUAAUCAUAGUUAUUUAUACAGGAACAAUUUAGGAGACUUAGAAUAUUCACUUCUUUUGCCUUCUAGCUGAGCAUCAAAAUUCUCUCUCUGUCUCUGCCUCUCUCUCUCUAUUUUCCACUUCUAGCUCCAACUAUUUUAAAUCCCUCCCCCAAUAGAACUCAUAACAAACAUAAAACAACAUUUGUUGUAUGUUUACAAUAGAUGUUCAAGCUAAUAUUUAUGUAGGCUUAGCCCUGGCAUUAAAUUAAGGUUUGGUUCACCAACAGGGUGCCUAGAGACUUCACCUCUAUUUCCAUGAGGGACUGAACAGCCUCUUGAGAAGGGACUCAUCAAAAUGGAAGAGUUGGCAAUAAGAAGUUUGGCUAAAUAACCAAGCACUGAAGUUGCAGAGGAGAAAGGAUUUGAAAGGCAGUACAGUGUCCAGGGGCAAGUUGGCAAUUUUUAGCAGGAGGUGAAGUGAUGCCAGCAGAGGUAACAGUGCUCAGAGGGACCAGUAGUCCCCAGGAGGAGCAGGGGAAUCCCCAGUGGAUCUGAUUUGUUCAAGAGCACAUGUGAGAUUAUCAGCUGGCGUUACAAUUUUGGAGUGGCAGUGAGAAGCAGUGAAUUUGAGGUCACUCAAUUUGCAGACCCCAAAGGGUGAAAUGUUGAGAAACAUGAGUUACACAUGUAUUUAACAGCUCUUGUGUAUUAUCACAAAUCCUAUUUCACCUCUCAUGCCCCCGAGGCUUUGGUGUCCAGUUCUCUGAAGACUUCAUCAAUCCUCAGCCAUAAAUCACCUGAGAGCAACUCACCUUGCUUCAUACUAUGAAGCUCCCUGAUGUCACAGCAUGGCAGGCCUGUGGCAACCCCUCAACACUUAUGCAUGAUCCCAAACAGCUAGAGGAUUAACACCUACGGUGUAACCCUUGACCAGCAGGAAAUGGAAAUUACUGUCUUUUUGUCCCCGCAGGUGAAUGGUUCUAAAAUGCAUUUUAUAAGCCUUCUGAAAUAGUCCCACAGGUCAAGCACCUACUUGCUCCAGUGGUGACCAACUCAAUGAUGCAUCCUUGGGUUGACUCUCCCUCCUUUCCAGUUCACUUUCCCCGCCCCUCACUCCUGCACCUCAGCAUCACAUUCCUGAAUAAACCACUCACACAUCUGUCUUAUUUCAGACUCUGUUUGGGGGAAUCCACAAUAAAAAUUUGUCAUUUUGAGUUAAACAUUGCUCUCACCUUGAAGACAUAUUUCCAUACCUAGAGAUUUCUGAAGUUCUCUCCCUUUUCCUAUCAUCUCCUUUGUGCUUUGUCUGACCUCCAUGUUACAGAGCCCCAUGAUAUUUAGAGCCAGUACUGCUAGGGAAGUAGUUCAGUUGUGUUUUAAAUGGUUCAGCAACUUGUAACAUCAACUGAGAACCAGAGGAAUACACUUGGAGGCCAAGAAAAAAAUGUUAGCUAAUAUGUACCAUACAGUAUGAUUCCUUGGGUAAGGGAAAGUAUAUGCAAGUGACAGAGGAAAAUUGAAAGUUGUAGCCCUUUUUUGGACUUUAGAUUUGGAAUUAAAGUUUCUCUUCUCUUGAAAGACCUUCUUUUUGUGGAUAAUGAUGAAUCUGAAGACCAGAACAGUGGGCCAAUUUGCCUUAGUUGAGAGUGGCAAAUAAAUGAAGAACUGAAGAACGUAUCUCUUUAACUAGUGCUCCUUUGUUGAGAAGAUACAAAACAAACAAUUGAAGGGUAUGGAUGAAGCCAUUGGCUUAUUCAUGUCUCUGUUGAUCAUAAUGAGAUUAAUAUAUAUAGGACAUUCACACAAAGAGGAUAUUGACUCGAUGGCUUACAGAUUAUUAGAGUUAGAAAUGUGACCUACUACUAAAGGAAGAAUGUUUCAGGUGUGGAUCUCUGAUUUAAAAAAUACACCACACUUGCCUCAGUGAAGCAAGUCAACUUAGGUGCUGAUACAAUGCCACUGCAGCUGUGCUGAGUUCAUGAAAUCAGAUCCCACUCUCUUCACCUACCCCUACCGUAUUCAUCCUACUUUCCGUCUGCUCUGCCCUUCCCAUUUGGUAACCUAGUCAUGAAACACCUGGCUCUGGGUCCUUCCUUCAGCAUCACUCCACGUUGUACUGCUGGCAUCGCUUUUCUUGGCACAGAACCUCUUAGGGCUGCUAUCCUAGGAGUAGGUGCUACUCAGGCUGGCUUAGUCCCAGGCUUCACUCACUUCUUGGCCCAUGGCCAGGAGGACCGGAAAGAACAAACUCUCUGCACAUCUCUGCAGGUGGCCACAGAGCCCCCAUCUGAGCCUUGCUGAUGGAGAAGAGCAUGCUGCAUCACAAGAUAACUGUGUGGCUCUGUUCAAAAACCUUGUUUAGAAGUUAUUAUUUCUUUUAUUGCAUUAGAAUUUGCCUCACUGUAGCUUUUGUGCUUCUGUCCUGGUUCAGCCUUAGAUAGCAGUGCAGCCUGGUCCAUGUGAAAGCUCUUGCAAUAGGCCUUUCUGCUAGUCAGGAGUUCUCAGACCCAUCCCUACUCUUCACUUUUCUCAAGACUAAUAUCAGACUCCUGGGCUCUUCAAGGUUUCCUCAUAUGAUAAAAGUUCUAAGCCCUCCAUUGUCCUAGUCACUGUCCUCUCUGUUCCAUCCCUGUCUGCCCUUCCAAGAUGCUGCACCUGGAGAUGAAUUUGUCCUUCCUGGGGCAAGUCACCAUGAGAUGAUUACUUUUGGAUCAUACUGAAUUUGUGGGUUAAAUAAACUCAUAGGUCUUUAUCUCAUGCACUAAAUCCAAAUUCGAUCUCUUGCCGUAAAUCAUUUUUUUGAAUAGCUGAACAAUAAGUAAAUAAUACACAAAUGAAAACUAAUCAAUAUUUGAACAUCCUCAGUAUUUUCAGCCCUAGUUUGAGCCAGACAUAGCUCAUCUUGUAUACUUCACUAAGGACACUUUAUACGAUCAAGCAAUUAAUAUUAUGAUGUCAUGUCUCGCAAGCCCCAUAGUGUCACUUCCAGUCUCUUCACCACAAAGAACGUUGAAGCCUUCGUAUUUUUUUGAAAAUCAUAUUUCUAGCUGCAGGAUGGGAUGUAAGAAAAGUUCAGAUUAGGAUUAUUCUAGGCUCCUGACUAUAACUAAAAUCCUGAUUUUUUAUGGAAAGGAAUGAGGAUCAUUCCUUCAAAUUAGAUUUUUGUGAUAAAAAGAAAAAAGUUGGUAAUCUAUUCAAAAUUGUAACAAAAAUAACUGCAUUUUUCUUUGGAAAAUAAUAGUUGAUUCCUUUUUGCUUUUUUUACUUAUGAAUUGGGGUGCAAUAGAGUUUAAUAAAAAUGAUGUGAAACACUCUUAUAAGGCUAAUUUAUCACAUUUGCUUCAAGGAAUUGUCCUUUCUAACAAAAUUGUGAAAUGGAACUGAACAGUAGCAUGAUGAGGCCUCUACCAGGAGGAGGUACAGAACAAGGCAGGAGGUCAGUGGUUAAAGGACUCCUUGCUUAUGCUCAAGAAAUGUGGACCUUAUUAGAGGUGACACAGUGAAAUCAGUCACCUGAUUUCGCAGGUGACUGUGGAGCAAGAAUGCAAAUCCACAAUAUUAGGAUGAAUGUGAGAGGAGAAGGGAAGGAGGCCAUGAGGGAAAAAAGGACAUCUAAUUGGGUCUGAAAGGAAGGGUAGAAUUUAAGUAAAGAGCACUGUGUACAUAUGGGAAUACCAUGUACUUUCUCAUGGAGAGAGGCCUUCUGACAGUCCUGCAUUGAUCCUGCUUCUUUGACCAUCCCUUGUUAGCCAGCAGGUCAUUUGGCCUCACUAGUUGCCUCAGUGCUGAGUGAUAGACUCAGCAGUCCCCAGCCUCUUUGGCACCAGGGACUGGUUUUGUGGAAGAUAAUUUUUCCAUGGAUCAGGGAGAGGAUGGUUUCAGGAGGAUUUAAGU